GGAGGAGCAGAAGCAGCCCUGCCAAAAAAAAAUCACCUGGUGAUGAGGAAAACACGACCUUCCCCCUGUCCUCCUCCCCUCCUUUAAAACUCACCUGGUAAAGUCCCAAAACAAAACCUGCACAUCUGUCAAUCCUGGGGCAGGAAGGGGAAAACCCAGAGCCGUGGAAGGUCAAUGUUCUGACAGUGUAUGUUUAGGAACAGUAAUGCUG